UACGAACCGUACAGACGUUAUUCGGAAUCACUGGGCUUAAAGGGUGCGUAGGCGGCCAUGUAAGUGAGGUGUGAAAUCCCUCGGCUCAACCGAGGAACUGCGCUUCAUACUGCAUGGCUUGAGGGAGACAGGGGUAAGCGGAACUGAUGGUGGAGCGGUGAAAUGCGUUGAUAUCAUCAGGAACACCGGUGGCGAAAGCGGCUUACUGGGUCUCUUCUGACGCUGAGGUACGAAAGCUAGGGUAGCGAACGGG
rnacentral:rRNA from 1 species